GUGAAUCAUCGAAUCUUUGAACGCACCUUGCGCCACGUGGUAUUCCACGGGGCACGCCUGUUUGAGUGUCACGUUAACCAUCGCGUCGUGGAUUGAACAUUUAGCUCAAAGCUGGAUAACGGUGGAGAGUUGACUAGUAUGUCUACGGGGCGGAUUUGGAGGCUUGCCGUGCAAACGGCUCCUCUCGAAAUGCAUUAGCUAUCUAACAACUGCGCCGCUGGUGUAAUAAUUUACUUUGCGCCUAUGGCAUUGGUCUGAAGGUGGCUCAUAAUCGCCUGCAAGGGCAACAAACUUAAGCUUUGACCUCAAAUCAGGUGGGACUACCCGCUGAACUUAAGCAUAUCAAUAAGCGGAGGA
rnacentral:misc_RNA from 1 species